rnacentral:rRNA from 1 species
GACGAACGCUGGCGGCGUGCCUAAUACAUGCAAGUCGAACGCAGUUGCGAACGGGUGAGUAACGCGUAGGAAACCUGCCUCAUAGCGGGGGAUAACUAUUGGAAACGAUAGCUAAUACCGCAUACUGUGAGAUGGACCUGCGUUGUAUUAGCUAGUUGGUGAGGUAAAGGCUCACCAAGGCGACGAUACAUAGCAGACAUGAGAGGGUGAUAGGCCGCACGGGGACUGAGACACGGCCCAGACUCCUACGGGAGGCAGCAGUAGGGAAUAGUGCGCAAUGGGCGCAAGCCUGAUGCAGCCAUGCCGCGUGUAUGAAGAAGGCGUUCGGGUUGUAAAGUACUUUCAGCGGGGAGGCGUUACCCGCAGAAGAAGCACCGGCUAACUCCGUGCCAGCCGCCGCGGUAAUAC